rnacentral:rRNA from 1 species
GACGUAGGUGGCGAGCGUUGUUCGGAAUCACUGGGCGUAAAGCGCACGUAGGCGGAUUGUUAAGUCAGGGGUGAAAUCCCGGAGCUCAACUCCGGAACUGCCUUUGAUACUGGCGAUCUUGAGUCCGGGAGAGGUGAGUGGAACUGCGAGUGUAGAGGUGAAAUUCGUAGAUAUUCGCAAGAACACCGGUGGCGAAGGCGGCUCACUGGCCCGGUACUGACGCUGAGGUGCGAAAGCGUGGGGAGCAAACAGG